GCUGUUUUAAAACCUAAUGAUCUUCCUUCCAUUCAAAAUUCUGAUUUAGCCAUUAUAGUGGAAUUGACAAAAAAAUAUCCUUAUACCAGAUUCUUUGACUGGUCAAUAUGCAUUGGGCAAAAUAAAAAGGAAAAAACGAAAAAGUAAAGAAAGGGGAAAGCAAGAUGGGAAGCAAGAGGGAGAAGAUGAGGCCAGGAUUCCCUGGUGGAUUUGGAGGCAGUCGGUGGCGCCAUGUUGUGGGUCUCACAGUCAGCAAAGUACACUAGUAAAGAAUGCAGCCAGGGGAGAGAGAGAGAGAGAGAG
rnacentral:misc_RNA from 1 species